GGCCCCAUCGGAUAGUGGUGAGUCCAUCUGGUUCUCAGCCAGAAAACCGGGGUUCGACUCCCCGUGGGGCUA
rnacentral:tRNA from 1 species